rnacentral:rRNA from 1 species
CGCGUAGGCGGCUUGGGAAGUCCGUGGUGAAAGCUCGUGGCUCAACUACGAGUCGGCCAUGGAUACUCCUAAGCUCGAGUCGACUAGAGGCAGAUGGAAUUCCGGGUGUAGCGGUGGAAUGCGUAGAGAUCCGGAAGAACACCGGUGGCGAAGGCGGUCUGCUGGGGUCGAACUGACGCUGAGGCGCGACAGCGUGGGGAGCAAACAGGAUUAGAUACCCUGGUAGUCCACGCCGUAAACGAUGGGCACUAGGUGCUUGGGGGAGCGACCCCUUGAGUGCCGGCGCUAACGCAUUAAGUGCCCCGCCUGGGGAGUACGGCCGCAAGGCUGAA